GGGUCAGUAGGUUCGUCGUGCCACCGGUACGUACUGGUGUCACUGAUUCCUCCUUCCUGAAGAACCGUAAUGCCAUUAAUUUGGUGUUGCGGGGAAACAGGACUGUUACUUUGAAAAAAUUAGAGUGUUUAAAGCAAGCUAACGCUUGAAUACAUUAGCAUGGAAUAAUGAAAUAGGACGAUCGAUCCUAUUUUGUUGGUUUCUAGGAUUGACGUA
rnacentral:rRNA from 1 species